AAAUAUAGCAAGAUUUAGUGUGAUGUAGCAAUUAAGUGAGAAUGAGUUGAUAUAGGCUGUGUCCCAAUUCAAAGGCUGCGACCUUCUAAGGACGUAUUUAAAGACCGAUUGUGUCACAGCAGUGCGACUUGAGGCUAGUAAAGCCGUCCCAAUUCAAAGGAUGCUUAGAAUGAAGCCUAUAAUUGCGUUCUCAUUUCUCUGCGCUGUCAAGGAUAGAACGAAUGGAUCCUUAACAGCCGAGGAUAUCCCAAGAGUCAUUGCGCGUCUGCAACGGCUGCAUAUAAUGGGUGGAUAUUCUAAAAUAAACAAGUAAAACCUUUAUUAAAUAAAAAUGUGUUUAUCAGAAAAAAAUAUGUGUCACUGUUUUAGUAAGUUAUGUUUUGUGUUAAUAUUAUUCUUUUUAUGUUGCGUAUAUUUCUAAGGUUGAUUAAUUUAAUAUACUGUUAAAUAGUUUAAUUUACAUCAACCUGUCAUAUUUUCUAAAAUCAAUUAAUAUUUUUCUGAUUUCAUAUUUAUUUUAAUAAGUUAGAAACGUGUCCGCUGUGUCCUGCUGACAGGGGCGGUGGGCACGUGCAGCAGAUGAUGCCAAUUAUGUGUCCCUGAAGGUUCGACGUCUCAUUUCAGUUACGUUUGCGAACUUCUGAGGCUUCCACCUUGAAAGACUGAGUGCUCACCUUUUAAGGUCGCAUGUUUAUAAGGUUGCAGCCCUUGAAUUGGGACACAGCUAUAAUGUCACUGUUAGGUAUAUAAUCUGUAAAUUGAUCCGAAGUUCAUGUUAUGCACAGGGAUAUUUUAAAAAGCUUAAUGUACAAUAAUAAUUUUUAAAGUUGCUUUAAUAGAAGUACAUUGCAUUAUAAUUGUGUCUUAAGAUUUUUAUAUCUAAAAAUAUUCUGUGUAUUCAACUAUUUAUAUUUAGUUUACUCAGAUAUUGUUGUUUAUCGUAGUGACACCCUAAAAUGUUUGUUUGAGUUGUUGUAAUUAAAAACAACAUCUUGCACUAAUUAACAGAUCAAUACUAUUGUUUUUUCUGAAGAUUGUUUUUUGUAACAUUGUGUUUUAACUUCUUAAUAUCUUAUUUAACUCCUUGAUAUUUAUAUUUGUUUUCUUUUUGUAUGUGUCAUUGGAAAUUAAUGGAAUGGUGCAACAUAAGCCAUAAACAGGAUAGACGACAGCACGGUGUGCCUUGGGCAUUUCAUUGUACUUUGACGGACUGAAAAGAUGCCACGUGGAAAAGGUUUUCGGCGGUCCCAGGCAGCCAAGAGGCGAAUGGCUAAGCCAUAUUCACUCAGUCCUGCAGAUCAACUUGCUGAUGAAAAUUCCAUGGUUUCCAAUGGUUCCAAUGACUUUCCAAAAAGUUCCAAUGACUUUCCAAAAAGUUCCAAUGACUUUCCAAAAAGUUCCAAUGACUUUCCAAAAAGUUCCAAUGACUUUCCAAAAAGUUCCAAUGACUUUCCAAAAAGUUCCAAUGACCUUCCAAAAUGUUCCAAUGACCUUCCAAAAUGUUCCAAUGACCUUCCAAAAUGUUCCAAAGACAAUUCUGUUCAUGUAACUAACUUUGCUAGUUUUUCAGAUCAAGUUCUAAAAGGCUCCUUUCAUCAAGGUGAUGAACGAUUUGGGUACAACAUGAACCGGCAGUGUGGAGUCAACAGUCUGACAGCAGUGAUGAUGAGCAAACUGAAGAAUGUGCUGACAUGGACCACAGAUGACCUGAAUACUGUGUUGGUUAAAGGAGACGAAAUGUAUACAUGUAUGCGCUUACAGGGGAAAAUUAAUGAUUCAACAGGUCGUGGAUAUGUUUCCAUUGCAGAAUUGCCAAAAAUGCAUACACUGUACAGUACAAAGUUCAAAAUAAACUACAAUGAGUCAUA